rnacentral:misc_RNA from 1 species
GUGAGAGUUUGUGAUUUGAAGAGGAUCAAGUCUGGCAGGAGGAAGAUUUCGAUGAUUCGGAGCUCGAUUCCGGGUCCCGAGAUGGUUGAACUUCAGCCAUCAUCAGAAGGGAGCCCUUUGUUAGUUCCCAGACAGAAGUAUUGUGAGUCUGUGCACAAGACUGUCAGGAGGAAAACACGAACGGUAAUGGUGGGAAAUGUGGCUCUUGGUAGUGAUCAUCCUAUCAGGGUUCAAACUAUGACCACAAAUGACACUAAGGAUGUUGCUGGGACAGUUGAACAGGUAAUGAGAAUAGCAGACAAGGGGGCAGAUUUGGUUCGGAUAACAGUUCAAGGGAAAAGAGAAGCGGAUGCUUGCUUUGAAAUAAAAAAUUCUCUUGUGCAGAAAAA